AACGAACGCUGGCGGCGUGCCUAACACAUGCAAGUCGCACGAGAAAAGGGUAGCAAUACUCUGAGUAAAGUGGCGCACGGGUGAGUAACACGUAGGUAACCUACCUCUAAGACCGGGAUAACUUGUCGAAAGACGGGCUAAUACCAGAUAAGACCACAGUCCUUGCGGGGACCGGGAUCAAAGGUGGCCUCUACACGUAAGCUAUCACUUAGAGAUGGGCCUGCGCACCAUUAGCUAGUUGGUGGGGUAACGGCCCACCAAGGCAAAGAUGGUUAGCUGGUCUGAGAGGAUGAUCAGCCACACUGGGACUGAGACACGGCCCAGACUCCUACGGGAGGCAGCAGUGGGGAAUCUUGCGCAAUGGGCGAAAGCCUGACGCAGCAACGCCGCG
rnacentral:rRNA from 1 species